UGAGUAACCUGCCCUCCACUCUGGGAUAAGCCCGGGAAACUGGGUCUAAUACCGGAUAUGACCUCCUGUCUCAUGGCGGGUGGUGGAAAGUUUUUUCGGUGGGGGAUGGACUCGCGGCCUAUCAGCUAAUUGGUGUGGGUAAUGGCCCACCAAGGCGACGACGGGUAGCCGGCCUGAGAGGGUGACCGGCCACACUGGGACUGAGACACGGCCCAGACUCCUACGGGAGCAG
rnacentral:rRNA from 1 species